AGAGCAACUCUCUCCAAGGCUGAGGAUCAACCAACUAUGAUACUAUUGAUGCAGAUUUAAUAGAAUAAGAAAGGGAAGAGAAGAAAGAACACUCAGAGAGAAGAAGAGAAGAAUUUAGAGAGGAUAAGUUUAUCAUUCAAUCAACACACAUAUUACAGAAGGUUCAUUCCCUUAUAUAGGGAAUACAAUCAGCUCUGCUCUAUCUAACUGUUUAACAACUCUAUAA
rnacentral:misc_RNA from 1 species